AGUGGAUGGGGAGCAACCUAGUUGUGCGUGUGUAAAGGUAGUGCCAAGAAAAGCGAUGAUCAUGUUGAAAAUCAAUUCCCGGUACCCGAAACCGACACAGGUGGGCAAGUAGAGAAUACUAAGGGGCGCGAGGUAACUCUCUCCAAGGAACUCGGCAAAAUGACCCCGUAACUUGGGGAGAAGGGGUGCCACCGAGAGGUGGUCGCAGUGAAGAGGCCCAGGCGGCUGUUUAGCAAAAACAUAGGUCUCUGCAAACUCGAAAGAGGAGGUAUAGGGGCUGACGCCUGCCCAGUGCCGGAAGGUUAAAGAAGUUGGUCAGUUUUAGGAUGAAGCUAGCGACUGAAGCCCCGGUGAACGGCGGCCGUAACUAUAACGGUCCUAAGGUAGCGAAAUUCCUUGUCGGGUAAGUUCCGACCCGCACGAAAGGCGUAACGAUCUGGGCGCUGUCUCGGAGAGAGGCUCGGCGAAAUAGGAUUGUCUGUGAAGAUACGGACUACCUGCAUUUGGACAGAAAGACCCUAUGAAGCUUUACUAUAGCUUGGAAUUGUGUUCGGGCUUCCUGUGCGCAGGAUAGGUGGGAGGCGUAGAAGGUAUUCUUGUGGGGAUACUGGAGCCAACGGUGAGAUACCACUCUCAGGAGGCUAGAAUUCUAACUUAAUUAAGGACAGUUUCAGGUGGGUAGUUUGACUGGGGCGGUCGCCUCCAAAAAGGUAACGGAGGCGUACAAAGGUUCCCUCAGACUGGUUGGAAAUCAGUCGAAGAGUGCAAAGGCAGAAGGGAGCUUGACUGCGAGAAGUACAGUUCGAGCAGGGUGGAAACACGGUCUUAGUGAUCCGACGGUGCUGUGUGGAAGGGCCGUCGCUCAACGGAUAAAAGUUACUCUAGGAUAACAGGCUGAUCUCCCCCAAGAGUUCACAUCGACGGGGAGGUUUGGCACCUCGAUGUCGGCUCAUCGCAACCUGGGGCGGAAGUACGUCCCAAGGGUUGGGCUGUUCGCCCAUUAAAGCGGUACGUGAGCUGGGUUCAGAACGUCGUGAGACAGCUCGGUCCAUAUCCGAUGUAGGCGUGAGAAUAUUGAGAGGAGCCUUCCUUAGUACGAGAGGACCGGGAAGGACGCACCGCUGGUGUACCUGUUAUGAUGCCAAUUGUAAACGCAGGGUAGCCAAGUGCGGAGAGGAUAACCGCUGAAAGCAUCUAAGUGGGAAGCCCACCUCAAGAUGAGUAUUCUGGUGUAAGGUCACGGGAAGACGACCCGUAAAUAGGCACGAGGUGGAAGUGCAGAGAUGUAUGAAGCCGAAGUGUACUAAUAGACCGUCGGCUUGACCG
rnacentral:rRNA from 1 species